GUUAGCUUCUCUUCAAAAGAUCCUUUAACAGUUACUGAGUAGUUAUAACUCGGCUUCGAUCCAAACUCUAGAGAUGGAACAUUUGAAGCAAAGCUUCGAGGAGUUUACAGAGUAAAAAGGUUCAAUGCUUGUGUUGUCUUGCGGUAAACCACGUGACCGAUGACAAAUAUGUCUCGCAUUUCCGUGAACACGUCACUGCUUCAUUUCGCGUGUGGAAUUUCAAAAUAAAAGCGCGAUGACACUUGUUGCUUCGUGGGUUGUUGUAGUGGUUUGGUCGCACGUCAGCAGAAAUAGGAGCAUCUGAGAAGAAUGGAGGCAACAAAAAAAGGAAAACUUCUCCCAUCUGGAAGUAAUUUGAAAUGUGUGCUAAAAACAAGGUUCCAGAAAGCAGGUGUUGGAUGAUGCUGUGAUCAAUCUUAUUGUAAAAGAUUCACAGCCCUUUACUGUUGUGGAAGACGAGGCGUUCAGGGAACUUGUUCAUUUGCUGGAUCCCUCCUAUGUUCUCCCUACUAGAAAAGUUGCAUGAAAGAAGAUGGUGGAGGAAAAAUAUGAAAAAACAAAAGAAAAGGCCAAAGAGGACAGGCAGAAGGUGUCUCCUGUGAGCCUGACAGCAGAUAUGCAGACAUCAAUAAAUAUGGAGGUGUACCUGGCAAUAACAUGCCACUUCGUUGAUGCAGAUGACAAACUGGGCAUUGUGCUGCUUGGAGUUGAACAUUUCCCUCAUAGUCACACAUCAGAAAAUCUGGCAAGGGUAGUUCAUACCCACACGGAGGAGUGGACCAUAACUAAUAAGGUUACUUGCCUAGUCACUGAUGCUGCAUCAAACAUGAUUGCAUGUGUUAAGGCCUUAAGGAUCAGGCACUCUGUGUGCAUUGCUCAUGUGCUGAAUUUGUUGGUAAGAAAAUCAUUUGACCAGGUCCCUGUUCUCUGUGACGUUCGGAAAAACGCCAAACGAAUUUUAACAUAUUUUCACUCAAACACCAAAAGGUAAAGAAAAGCUAGAAGUAGUACAGAUACAGAUAGGGGGCAGAGAAGAUGGACAAAGACAAUUAACACUUAGGGUCUACAUUAACUGAUUCACAUUAUGUUAGACAGAACUUUCUGCUGUGCUUCAGGCUGUUGUCCUUUCUCUCUUUGCUCUAAAUUAACACAUACAGGUUUGAUGGGGUUAGAGUUGUUGGGUACCAUCAUAGGAGAAACGCAUAUUGUGCUUGCUUCUUUCCAUCAAGAGGUGAAGAGAGGCAAGUGUCAGGGUCAAAGGUCAUCCAGAUGAUGAAAAUGCUCUAUCUUACACUGGGAGGUAAUGCUUCAACCUUGCACACACAGGCAGCCAUACACCUACAUGAACACCUGAAGUGUCAAGUCACAGACACUGCUUCCAAUAUGGAGUCACUAAGUGUGUUGACCCUAGCAACACUUCUAGACCCCAGAUUUAAAUCACUCGGGUUCCGCAGUUCCUCCAAGUGCAAUGAGGCCAUCAGUAGACUGCUGUCAGAAUGUGCGUCUGUAAUCGGACGCACAAAUGAGCCCAAGCCAGGACCGUUUUCACAACAGCUGUCUGCACCCACGUCAGGCAUGUUAUUCAGCAUUAAUUGUUUGUUGCUGUUUGGAAAUCAUGUACUAAAAUGCCAAUUUGUUGUUUUUUAGAUAACUUUCGACAACAUCUCGACAUCAAAGUGGGCAGGCAGACUAAAAGUGCCACAGCUGAUGCCAUCCAGGAAGUGCAAAGAUGCCUGGCAGAGGGCAUAAUUGCCAGGUCCCAGGUUCCUAUGAGAUACUGAGACAACCAAAAGACAAUCUAUCCAAACCUCUUCUGCCUUUCCUUACAAUUUCUCUGUGGUAAGGCGUCGCUAGCUUAGCGUUAGCUUUAACUCCACCAUGGCUACACGUUCUGCUGUUUCUCUCUCUGAGUCUCUUCCUCUCUCCUGCUCUCUGUGUCAGACGUUCAGUUAUUCAUCUGCCUCUUUUAUUGAUAAUGGUACGUGUAAUAAAUGUAGCAUUUUUGUAGUUUUGGAGGCAAGGGUGUCAGAAUUGGAGGCCACCAAGGGUAGCUCCCCAUAGCAGUCCUUAAGCAGAGCUCGUGCAGCCGGGGCCUCAGGCCGGCUGGGUGGCGGUACGUAGAAAGCAUAGUCCUAGAUCCCAGCCCACAAGUCACCACCAACCUGUCUGCGUUUCUAACAGAUUUUUCCCGCUCAGUGACA